rnacentral:snoRNA from 1 species
AAAAGAGAUGAUGAUGUUUAUCCACCUCUUCUGAUAUUCAAUGACAAUUAUCAAAGCAUGCACUACCAUCUGAUCUUUA